UAUAAAAAUUUGGUUUUUGUAAAUAGUACCGGAAGCUUUUCGUUAAAAUUCUAAAAAAAUAAAGACCAAACGGUGACAAGAGUCCUAUCCAUAUUUUGUUGAUAAUAUAAAUUAUAAACUAACACCAAUGGUGCUCUUAAUUCUAAUUAGAGCACCUGAUUUGAUUAUUAUGUGGUAUAUUAACUUGUUGAAUAGCCCACUAAUACAACAAAAUGGUUAUAUUCCUUUUUCGUUAUAGGUAAAGUAGAAGAUGUAAUGUUCAGCUCACGAGUUUACGAAUUUCAUAACUAAUUAUUAUAGAUGUCGUAAAUCCUAUUAAAUAUGAAUGCUUGAAAAUACCACGAUCAUGGUUCAUUGACUUGUACACUUUUUCAUUUAGUUGUACAUUUGCCACAUUAAGUGAGGAAUGCAACACAGCUUGAACAGUCUACUACACCGUCUGAUUGGUGUAAGUACACUGUUUGAUGGGUUGUUUGGAAGUGUUCGUGCUUUCUGUACCACUGAAAAUCUUUUGAUUAGGAGCUAUAAAAUAAGUUUAAAAAGUACUUAAAGAGACGCACAAAGGUAAGCUUGUAAUUGCUUUUGACGUCCUAUCCAAAAGAGAAAAAGAAAGUAAUAGCCAGCCAUGGACGGUGGAAUGCAGACGUGGGCACUUUUUUGUAUGUAAGUUUGUUUAUCUGAUCAUAACUUACAACUUUUGUUGCUAUUGAGCAUCGUAUUUGGCAUUAAUGUUUGGUUUAGGGAAUGUCCUUUAUCGUUUUUAUACUUAAUCCACUGAUUAAGCUUUUUUCAUGGCAGUCGAGUCGGACGAUGGGUGACAGUGUAAGCUGGCACAUCCCAAAUGCCAAAGCUAGUUUUGUAACGUACGUUCUAAUCACUAAUUGUUAAUUAGCUUAAUUAACACUCUCUUUAAUCAGUCGACUUGUUCUUUGCGUUUAUUAUUUUUAAAUUUUGGAUGUUUUGGAUUUGAUGUGUAACCACUUUCGAUCUACGUACGCAGUAAUGUUUUAUAUUUUAUUUUCCUUCUGUUUUUGGGGAGUACAGGUUGUACAGUCGCCACAGGGCCGCCAGGUAGAGGAUAUUAACCUGAAGUUCUGCUUAAUUGUUUUGGAUUAGCUUGUCAAUUUGUGAUUUGUUAAGAUUAAUACAAACAUCAGCAGGGAAGCGUACUGGAAACAAACUACAAGCAAGUUCUUACAUGGUACAGGUCUAAGUACCAAUCUUCAUCAGACUCGUGCAUGCAACAGAAACAUAUAGCAGAUGGCUUUUUAUUUUUUACUUUUAUUUUUUAUCAAACAAGAGAUAGUGAUUAGUGAAAAGGAUUGUCUUUUGUCCCCGCUUGAUUAGCUUCACUAAUUAGGACAUUUUUUUACCGUCCAGUGUCAGAACACUGCAGCAUCACCAUGUUUUGCUUUUCAAUUAAUCUUAUCCGAUUUGGAUAGCUGGAUGAUAAAAAUUUGAUGUGUUGAUUGUUUAUAUUUUUGAAGUUAAUCCCUAAUAUUACUGAUAUUAUUAAAGCGCGUAUAUAUAUGAAGCGUGAAAUUACAGUGCAAGAGUUUUGAAAUGGAUGUUAAUCAAAAUUAAUCUUAAUAAAGAAAGAUUGACUACCUCAUGACUAGUGCUGUGAAAUAUAUAUCAUUAGAUUCACUACGUAAUUCUCAAUGGACAUGUACUGCUAACGUGCACUUGGGGAACACAUAUGGCUGCAUCGUUAGUAGAAUGCAAGAUUGAUUUUACUACACGUGAGCUCAUUGAGGCAAUUUAAUUAUUCAAUAUCUUGACAUUUGAUGUAAACGUUUUUAUUCAUAUCUAAUAAAGUUUAUCUAUUCAUAGAGGGAAAAUAAUACCAGUUGGAGAAGUACUAAUUUAUAUAGGAAACAACUUCGCUGCUGAAAAGAUCAGCAGUAGCUGCUGUUGAUGGCCUAUCAUACGCGGACACAUGUUCAAGUUUUAAUUAAUAUAAUCAAAACUUAGACACGUAUCCGCACGUGAUUGGUUAUCAGUAGCGAAGUCUUGUUCUUUAUAUAUUGUCUAAACAAUCAACAAGGGGAAGGGAGUGAGUGAUUAAUAAUCAAUUAGGAUGUUAUUAUUCAUGCUGUUAAUCAAUUUGAAGCACGCAUGUACGUACACCUGUUGAGUGUUGACAAUGUCAUAGUCACAACAGCGUUUUCUAGUUUGCAAACACACCUUUUAAUUGAAUACUUAAUUACACACACCACUAAAAUGGCAUGGAAUAUGCAAAUUAAUUAAGAACACCUUCUCAGCGAAGUCUUGUUCUUUAUAUAUUGUCUAAACAACCAACAAAAGGGGAAGGGAGUGAGUGAUUAAUAAUUAAUUAGGAUGUUAUUAUUCAUGCUGUUAAUCAAUUUGAAGCACGCAUGUACGUACACCUGUUGAGUGUUGACAAUGUCAUAGUCACAACAGCGUUUUCUAGUUUGCAAACACACCUUUUAAUUGAAUACUUAAUUACACACACACACACACCACUAAAAUGGCAUUGAAUAUGCAAUUU
rnacentral:lncRNA from 1 species